rfam:Gossypium arboreum cultivar AKA8401 contig_3005_11, whole genome shotgun sequence.
UGUUAAAAAAUUCAUCUAUUUGUACGGCUAAAAAUUGGUUGUUGAAGGAGUAACCGAAUAGUGACAUAUAAUGCGCCAUGUGUACUUUAUGUUGAUGUACGUCAACUAAUUUUUGACAAUAGAAAUAGAUUAAAUUUUUAACA